UUCUGAGUCCUGCCCUGCACCUGCAACACCUCCGCUUUCACCUCCUCCAGCUGAGUCAGACAUCUCUCUUUGUUUAUCAAGCUCUCCUGUCAAGCGUUCAAGUGCCUUGCGUCCGCCGGGUGGCUGUCAGACGUGGGUGAGUUCAUCCAGUUCCACAGCUGCAGGGAUUUCCGGGGGCUGAGAUGUAAUCCAGCCACGUCCACCAUGACUCAACCCAGUUCUCCGUCUCUGACGUCAGGGCAGGAGGGCAGGUCUUCUUGUCCCGCUGGUUAGAAGACCUCUACGCAACCUCCCCAAGAGUUUCAGGCCGAGGCCGGUCUGGUUCUUCACACCCUCAUCCCACAUGCCCAUACUGCCUGAAGACCCUCCACUACCACCCUUUCCCUCCAUACCGCCUGGCCCACCCCACAUGCCAACGCCAUCCACCCACUGCCCUCCCAUGGAGGAGCUGCCCAUCGACAUACCAGGGUGCUGCAAACAGAAAAAUAAAUCAGGUUGGCUGAGCUGUGACUCACAGUCCCGGCGGGCCCCCGGUUGGGCUGCGGGCGCUGCGUUGGUGGUAGCUGUCUCACCAGCAGGGGCGGCGGGGAGGGCCCUGGGGCGAAGGGAACACGGCCCCACAUCUUGAUGACGUCCCCCAGGGGUUGGAAGCCCUCAUCACAGCCCCGCUUCACCAGCAGGGUCAUGGUGAAGUAGCCAGCCUGGAACCACUCGCACAUCUCCACAGUUGUAAAAGGGCCUGGUUUGUGGGUACAUCACAAACAGGUUUACAAUGCAGAAACUGAGCUUACGUAGCAGACUUCCUCACUUUGUUUAAUUUAGUUUAGCUGUAUUCCAACAAAGCUCUGUAAUAUGUAUACGUGAACGAAUAAAAUUCCACUGUGUUCAAGUGUA